CCUACGGGUGGCAGCAGUAGGGAAUCUUCCGCAAUGGACGAAAGUCUGACGGAGCAACGCCGCGUGAGCGAAGAAGGCCUUCGGGUCGUAAAGCUCUGUUGUUAGGGAAGAACAAGCAACGCAGUAACUGGCGUUACCGUGACGGUACCUAACGAGAAAGCCACGGCUAACUACGUGCCAGCAGCCGCGGUAAUACGUAGGUGGCAAGCGUUGUCCGGAAUUAUUGGGCGUAAAGCGAGCGCAGGCGGUCUUUUAAGUCUGAUGUGAAAGCCCUCGGCUCAACCGAGGAAGGUCAUUGGAAACUGGAGGACUUGAGUGCAGAAGAGGAGAGAGGAAUUCCAUGUGUAGCGGUGAAAUGCGUAGACAUAUGGAGGAACACCAGUGGCGAAGGCGACUCUCUGGUCUGUAACUGACGCUGAGGCUCGAAAGCGUGGGGAGCAAACAGGAUUAGAUACCCUAGUAGUC
rnacentral:rRNA from 1 species